rnacentral:rRNA from 1 species
AUUGAACGCUGGCGGCAGGCCUAACACAUGCAAGUCGAGCGGAUGAGUGGAGCUUGCUCCAUGAUUCAGCGGCGGACGGGUGAGUAAUGCCUAGGAAUCUGCCUGGUAGUGGGGGGACAACGUUUCGAAAGGAACGCUAAUACCGCAUACGUCCUACGGGAGAAAGUGGGGGAUCUUCGGACCUCACGCUAUCAGAUGAGCCUAGGUCGGAUUAGCUAGUUGGUGAGGUAAAGGCUCACCAAGGCGACGAUCCGUAACUGGUCUGAGAGGAUGAUCAGUCACACUGGAACUGAGACACGGUCCAGACUCCUACGGGAGGCAGCAGUGGGGAAUAUUGGACAAUGGGCGAAAGCCUGAUCCAGCCAUGCCGCGUGUGUGAAGAAGGUCUUCGGAUUGUAAAGCACUUUA